rnacentral:RNase_P_RNA from 1 species
UCGCUAUGAUAGAGGAAAGUCCGAGCCGCUUUAAGACAGGGUUCCGUCUAACGGACGGCCGGGGCAACCCGAGGGAAAGUGCAACAGAAAGCAAACUGCCGCUUUUGCGGCGAUGGUGAAACGGCGGGGUAAGAGCCCACCGCGCGCAGGCGAGAACGAAGCCGCGCGGCAUUGCAAACCCAACCCGCGGCAAGAAGGGAUGGUUUUGGUCUUAAAAUAAAAACCCUUCGCUAGAGUUCGUUUGCAAAAUCGAACCGAGAUAAAUGAUCGUCAAAACAGAACUCGGCUUACGGUCGCACCC